rnacentral:tRNA from 1 species
AGAGAGUUAGUCCAAACAAGACCUUUGAUUUCGGCUCAAAAAAUUGUGGUUAAAUUCCACAGCCCUCUU